UACGGAGGGUGCAAGCGUUAUCCGGAUUCACUGGGUUUAAAGGGUGCGUAGGCGGGUUGGUAAGUCCGUGGUGAAAUCUCCGAGCUUAACUCGGAAACUGCCGUGGAUACUAUCAAUCUUGAAUAUCGUGGAGGUAAGCGGAAUAUGUCAUGUAGCGGUGAAAUGCUUAGAUAUGACAUAGAACACCAAUUGCGUAGGCAGCUUACUACACGACCAUUGACGCUGAGGCACGAAAGCGUGGGGAGCAAACAGG
rnacentral:rRNA from 1 species